GUAACACAUGGCUGACCUGCCCCUCAGAGGGGGACAACCGGUGGAAACGCCGGCUAAUACCCCAUGCUUGCGUCCGGGUUAGAGGCCGGAUGCAGAAAGGCCGAGGCGCUGAGGGAGGGGGCUGUGGACCAUCAGCUAGUUGGUAGGGUAACGGCCUACCAAGGCGAGGACGGAUAGGGGGCCUGAGAGGGUGACCCCCCACACGGGCACUGAGACACGGGCCCGACUCCUACGGGAGGCAGCAGUAAGGGAUAUUGCGACAAUGGGCGAAAGCCUGACGCAGCAACGCCGCGUGGAGGAUGAAGGCCUUCGGGUUGUAAACUCCUUUUCUGUGGGAAGAGGAAGGACGGUACCACAGGAAGAGGUCUCGGCUAACUACGUGCCAGCAGCCGCGGUAAAACGUAGGAGGCGAGCGUUAUCCGGAUUUACUGGGUGUAAAGCGCGUGCAGGCGGCCUGGUAAGUCGAGCGUGAAAGCUCCCGGCUCAACCGGGAGAGGACGUGCGAAACUGCGAGGCUAGAGACAGGUAGAGGCGUACGGAAUUCCGGGUGUAGUGGUGAAAUGCGUAGAUAUCCGGAGGAACACCAGUGGCGAAGGCGGUACGCUGGGCCUGGUCUGACGCUAAGACGCGAAAGCAUGGGGAGCGAACGGGAUUAGAAACCCCGGUAGUCCAUGCCGUAAACGAUGCUAACUAGGUGUUGCGGGUAAAAGACCGGCAGUGCCGGAGUUAACGCGAUAAGUUAGCCACCUGGGGACUACGGUCGCAAGGCUAAAACUCAAAGGAAUUGACGGGGGCCCGCACAAGCAGCGGAGCGUGUGGUUUAAUUCGAGGCUACACGAAGAACCUUACCUGGGCUUGACAUGACGGUGGUAGGGAACCGAAAGGGGACCGACCUUCGGGAGCCGUCACAGGUGCUGCAUGGCUGUCGUCAGCUCGUGUCGUGAG
rnacentral:rRNA from 1 species